ensembl:snoRNA
UUGCAUGUUUUGGCCCUGGGCCAUGAUUGGCCACUCCAUUUCUGUAGAGAGGGCGAGUACAAACAUGCUACAUUAACAGUUGUGGAGUUAACAGGGCCACCAGUCUAUCAAGGCCAGACUGAGUUGGUAGUAUAAUACUCCAACAUAC